GCGGGGGUAGGGCAGGCGGAUCUCCUGCGUCUCGCGCACGCGGCCGGGACGGGGGUUCAGCACCACGACCUUGUCC
rnacentral:tRNA from 1 species